GGAGAAAGUAGAAAAGAUCAGGUGCUAUUUGUGUAAAUUUCCGUUUGUUGUUAACCAUAUAGCUGCACCGUACAAGUUGCUCCAUUACUAUCAGCCGUAGCAACAAACUGACAAACUAGAAAGCAAAGCGACGGCGGCAAUGAGAUUUGGUCAGAGCCUGGCAGUGCUAACUCGAGCGUUGAUCACUCGCUCUAUGGAGUCCUCUCGGGGACCCACUCGCUACUUAAGCGGAGGCAAAGGCAAAGGCAAAGUCCCCAGCAAGGAGGAGCGCGCCGCCGAGAAUGUCUACAUCCAGAACAAGUAGAGGGAGAAAUUGGAGAAGCAGAGGGCUGAAAAGGAAAACGCGGAGAAAGAGAAAGAAAAUGCUGAUAAGAAAGUCAGGUGUAGCUUUGCGAUGUUUGAUCACUCGAGUUAGUGUUGUAGUUUCAUGUGAAUAGGAAUCACCGGGGAAUGGACACAAUAUUGAGUAAAGGCUUAAUAACAGAGAAUCGCGUCUGAGUGUUCAAAAUGAUGAGGUUGAGAUUGGACGUCUGGUUUUUAUUUAUGCUAAAGUGACAGAAGUUUAUACUUAUCAUCGAGGUUUCUUGCAAUCAGAUCUUAAAAAGUCGUUAUUGAGAGCAUUCUAAGCUGGAAAGGUGGUGUAUGGCAGGCUUGCAUAAUAAUCUUCCUUGAUGAUGUGUUAUUCUCACGUUCUUGUUUUCAGGGAAGUUUCUGUUUCAAUUCUUGCACUGAAUGUGCAUUGAUGAAGUCUUAUAUUGGAAUGGGUCUGAUUAUGUAUUCUGGUCCUGGACUCCCUUCACAAUUCAUGAAGAUGAUAGUGUAUUUGUUGGAUGAUUAUGUAUCACCUAAUGUUGAAGUCUGCAAUGCAACUUAAGUCUCUAUUUCCCCAUUUCAACUGAAGAAUAUCUACUAAUUCUUAUAGUUACUUCAACCAGAUUAGGUAAUUUUGUGCCACUGAUGAGUUUUGACUGGUUUAUUCUAAUUUUAGUCGGUUAUUGCUUCUGA